AUGGGAGAACAGGACUCAGGCCUAAGGAAACCCAGUUUUCUGAAGUUGCUGGCUAGCAACAGCACUGGAACAUCCAUCCCAGCAGCAGGGGCCAAUGCAGAAGCCCCCAGAACUGCUGUCCUUCUUUGGGCAGAGGCUUCUGGAGGAAGGGACAAAGAGGUCUUUGCUGUCUCUACAGAGCCCGUGACUUCCAAGGAGCUCACCACUCACUCAGCCCUGCCUGCCUUCUCCAAAGGGCAGCCAAUCAUCCGCAUCAAUUUCGAUGACGUUGCCAAGGGCGCUCAAUGGCCUCCUGCCACCCCUGUCCACUUCCACAUGAAAGGAGAGAGACUGAAGAGAUGGAAAUCAGUCGGCCCGGCCAGCCUGGCUCAGGUGGUCAUGAAGGGCAGCCUAAGUCACUCAAGGCUCCCAGAGCUGCCUUUGAGGCAGAAAUACAGAGCAUCUUUGAGGACUCCUGCUCUGUCUGUGGGAAGGGUCACGAGGGUAAGGGGCGUUUUGAUCCGGGUGUAUUUCCACGGCUUUUCCUGCAUGGAACAGAGAGGCACAAAGUCAGGGCAUGCAAGUAGGAGCCCGGGAUCAGGAGAGGGCACGGGCCACGCUGUGGCCGCUCCCACUCCACGCCUGGUCCCGAGGGCAGAGGCCCACAGGUCCAGUUGGCCGCUGUGGCGUCCGCGUACCCCGGUCCACCACCGUUGUGCGCCCAGCAGCGGCGGCGGGAGCUAGAGGCUCACGGUGAGCCUGGGACUCAAGCCGGCGAGGCGCUGGCGGCCCGGCCCUGUAGCCGGGCGCCCCGGCUGAUCGCGCGGUUCGCCCCUCCCCGCGCGGCUCUCCCGCGCUCACUCCAGGGUCGACGUCAGGGCCGGAGUCGCUCCUGGGAUCCCGCGGCCACCCCCGCCCGCAAACGCCCGCCCGGCCCGACCUACUCACCGCGGCUCCGCGGGGCCCGCCCGGGGCCGCGCCUGCCCCCGCUCCCGGCGCGCAGGACACCCUCCCCAACGACCCCUAGGGCGCGCUCGGCCUCUCCCGCGAGCGGGGCACCCAGGCCCGGCCCCGCCAGCCCCAGGGGCGGCCCCUUCCAGAGGGCGGCCUCCCGGCCGAGUGCGCGAUCCUCGGCCGCCCCGCACGCCUUCCCCAGCUCGCGCUGCGUGGACUCGACUCGGAGUCUUCGGGCGCCGCGGAGAAAUGCCUGCCCCAGAAAGGGAGGGGGUGGGGAGAGACGGGAAGAGGAGCGAGCGGGAGCGGAGACUAAGGAGGGAGGAGGAAAAUAUGGAGAGCAGGAAAGGCGAGAAAGGGGGACAAGGCUGGCCAAACCCACCUGCCGGCUGCUUGCCCCAGGGCUGGCUUCCAGACCAAGGGCACGUAGAGGUCAGAGGCUCCCCAGAAGGCACGUCUGCCCUGAAAAACCUAAGGUGUAUCAAGGUGUCCGGGUGAAGAUCACAGUGAAGGAGCUGCUGCAGCAGAGAAGGGCACACCAGGCAGCCUCGGGGGGAACCCUGUCCGGAGGCAACAGUGUCCACCUUUCAGACCCAGUCCCACCAUCUUCUGCAGGACAGUAUUUUGAGCCUGAACCAAUUCCUUCCAUACCCAAUUAUUUCCAACCCCGAGAAUUUUCCAGUUGUGUUUCUCGUGAAGAAAAUCCAGGCUUCCUCGACCAGAUAUUUGAUUCCUACCUUCAGACAGAGACACACCUAGACCCUUCGCCCAAUUCCAUGCAAAGUACUCCGCACUAUUUCCCAGACAGCUUCCAGCCUGCCCCUUUCUGCUUUAACCAGAGCCUGACCCCAGGAUGGCCUUCGGAUUCCUCCACUCUCUCUGGUUCCUUAGACUACAGUUACUCUCCUGCUCAUCUACCUUCAUAUACUCCGGAGAAUUACAACUCUCCCCCUUCUCUGGACACCAGAAACUGUGGCUACCCCUCGGAAGACUACUGCUACCCUCACCUGCCCUCACACACCCAGUACAACUGCUUCUCGUCUGCCACCGCCUCUGUCUGCUGCUGUGCAUCCUGCGAGGCAGAACACUUGGACACCUUCAGAGCUUCAGAGUGUUUUUCUUACUCCAGCACAGACUAUGUGAACUUCACUCCCUCAGCAGCAGCAAGCAGUGAUUUCUGUAGGAGGGAAACAAACUGGGACAUCUGCUAUAGUUAACAGAAAUUACAUUAGUU